AUUGAACGCUGGCGGCAGGCCUAACACAUGCAAGUCGAGCGAGCGGCGGACGGGUGAGUAAUGUCUGGGAAACUGCCUGAUGGAGGGGGGUAAAAACUGGAAACGGUAGCUAAUACCGCAUACCAUCAGAUGUGCCCAGAUGGGAUUAGCUAGUGGGGGGGGUAACGGCUCACCUAGGCGACAAUCCCUAGCUGGUCUGAGAGGAUGACCAGCCAAACUGGAACUGCGACACGGUCCAGACUCCUACGGGAGGCAGCAGUGGGGAAUAUUGCACAAUGGGCGCAAGCCUGAUGCAGCCAUGCCGCGUGUGUGAAGAAGGCCUUCGGGUUGUAAAGCACUUUCAGCGGGGAGGCGUUACCCGCAGAAGAAGCACCGGCUAACUCCGUGCCAGCAGCCGCGGUAAUAC
rnacentral:rRNA from 1 species